ACGAACGCUGGCGGCGUGCCCUAACACAUGCAAGUCGAACGCGAAAGGGGGCAACCCCGAGUAGAGUGGCGCACGGGUGAGUAACACGUGGGUAACCUACCCAGGAGAUUGGGAUAACCAGGGGAAACUCUGGCUAAUACCGGAUACGCCCUCGGGCGACCUCGGUCGCUUUGGGGAAAGGAUGGCCUCUGCUUGCAAGCUAUCGCUCCUGGAUGGGGCCCGCGGCCCAUUAGCUAGUUGGUGAGGGUAACGGCUCACCAAGGCAAUGAUGGGUAGCUGGUCUGAGAGGAUGAUCAGCCACCACUGGGACUGGAACACGGCCCAGACUCCUACGGGAGGCAGCAGUGGGGGAAUUUUGCGCAAAUGGGGGAAACCCUGACGCAGCAAACGCCGCGUGGGUGAUGAAGGCCCCUCGGGUCGUAAAGCCCUGUCGGGUGGGAAGAAUCCCUCGACGGUAAAUAAUCGGCGAGGAUGACGGUACCAACUAGAGGAAGCACCGGCUAACUCUGUGCCAGCAGCCGCGGGUAAUACAGAGGGUGCAAGGCGUUUGUUCGGAAUCACUGGGCGGUAAAGCGCGUGUAGGCGGCUCGUUGUGUCGAAUGUGAAAGCCCCCUCGGCUUAACCGAGGAAGUGCGUUCGAAAACUGACGAGCUUGGAGUACCGGAGAGGAAGGUGGAAUUCCCGGUGGUAGAGGUGAAAUUCGUAGAUAUCGGGAGGAAACACCAGUGGCGCGGAAAAGCGACCUUCUGGACGGAUACUGACGCUGAGACGCGAGGGAGGAGCGUGGGGAGCAAACAGGAUUAGAUACCCUGGGUAAGUCCCACGCCGUAAACGGUGGGCACUAGGUGUGGCGGGUGUUGACCCCCGCCGUUGCCGAAGCUAACGCAUUAAGUGCCCCGCCUGGGGAGUACGGCCGCAAGGCUAAAACUCAAAGGAAUUGACGGGGGGCCCGCACAAGCGGUGGAGCAUGUGGUUUUAAUUCGACGCAACGCGAAGAACCUUACCUGGGUUUGACAUCCCCUGACCGCCGCAGAGAUGCGGUUUUUCCCUUCGGGGACAGGGAGGACAGGUGCUGCAUGGCUGUCGUCAGCUCGUUGUCGUGAGAUGUUGGGUUAAGUCCCGCAACGAGCGCAACCCUCGCCCUUAGUUGCCCACCGGUUCGGCCGGGCACUCUAGGGGGACUGCCUCGGUUUAACGAGGAGGAAGGCGGGGGAUGACGUCCAAGUCCUCAUGGCCCUUAUGCCCAGGGCUACACACGUGCUACAAUGGCCGGUACAAAGGGAUGCUAAACUCGCGAGGGGGAGCCAAUCCCUGAAAGCCGGUCUCAGUUCGGAUUGGAGUCUGCAAACUCGACUCCAUGAAGUCGGAAAUCGCUAGUAAUCGCGGAAUCAGCAUGCCGCGGUGAAUACGUUUCCCGGGGCCUUGUACACACCGCCCGUCACACCACGAAAGUCGGUUGCACCAGAAGUCGCCGGGGCUAACCUUCGGGGAAGCAGGCGCCAAAGGUGUGGUCGGUAAUUGGGGUG
rnacentral:rRNA from 1 species